rnacentral:lncRNA from 1 species
GCCAACAUAUGUACACACAAUAAGCAAUAGACCAAACACUCAAGAAGCAUAAUUAACAUACCGAUCACUUUAUGAAGUUAAUUAAUCUUCAAUAUAUAAGAUUUAUGUUAAUUACAAGCAAUCAAAUGCCUACAAAGUUGAGAAAAACGUUAAAUCAAGUGAGUCACAAACAAAAGAAUCCACAGCUAUUAGCUCACCAAAUCCAUCAAAAAGCUGUUUUAAUUCAACCAACAAAGCGUUUCGUGAGCAAGAGUCAUCAUCUUUAACGCAUAAUUAAUCUAAAUUUGACAAGACUGGGUGAUAUAUCAACAGGAAGAAGAGCCACUUACUUUCAAGUCGAGGGAUUACUCUUUCCACUGAGGAGGUAUAAUUGGGGUGUGAGAUUGGGAUUCCAAUCUGAACCGCCAUUUAAUUUCUAGGGUUUUCAGAGGUGCGAAGAUGAGUGGACAUUAUGUUGAAAGAAAUUUGACCGCGAAC